GAGUGGGAUUCAAGCAAAGACUUCAUGGAAAACAAACCAAGCUUCCACAGUUCCUAAAAGAUAUAUAGCCAGUCCAAGGGUGAGGAUGGAUGGAGAAGAAUGGACAACCAGUGUUCCAGCCCAAGUGAACAUCAUGGGUCAAGCAGCAUGGAGAAAUAUCAAAAGCCAAGGCUACAGUCACUGCCCUUCAAGAGCUCACAAAGAACAGCAAAUGGACAAGAGACAGUGAAGAGCAAAAGACCCACAGCAGAGGGUCUGAGUUCGAUUCCUGGCUCCAGCAGCAGCUUGGUCUGGGCUCUGACCCCUACCCUCACCUCUCCUACAUGGUCUUAUGAAGCAAGCUGCCUACAGAAAUGUCCAUGUGUCAGGAAACUGAAGCUGGCUCAUGGUCAGCAGCCAGCAAGCUACAAAGGGCUUCCAACAGCCCAUGAAGCACUGAGUCCUGCCAAAAGCCACGUGCAUGAGCUUAGAAGAGCUUCAUCCUCCAGGCUAGGAAAGAGACAGUCGGUGUGCAGCAAGAGAAAAGAGAGGAGGAAACAUGUGGAAAGACCCAAAGAAUGAAGACACAAGAGCAUGCCUGAAUGCAAUGGGAAGUAGAUCAGUUGACCUUUGCUGAAUAACAAGGUGGACCUAAAACUGGGUGACUUGAAACAGCACCAGACGACAUGAACCAUACUCCAAAAAUGAAAUACUGAUAAGAGGGGAUGGAGAGCUAUUGGAGCCCUAUCAUUUGCACACCUGGACCACGUGAUGGAGAACCAGGGAUGACAAUUGAGAGGAGAGACAGAGAACCCUCCAUCUGUGUCAAAAUGCCCAGUGUUACCACCAACAAGAGUCAGCCACAUCAAAACAGGCACAGGCAAAACGUGGCCCUCUGCGAGCAAGGAAUGGGGUUUCAUGAAGAACCACUUCUGCUGACACCUUGAUCUUGAACUUCCAGCCUCCAGAGCUGUGAGAAAUAAAUAUCUAUUGUUUAAACCAUCCAUUGCAAGGUAUUUGAUGAUAGCAGCCCUAGCUGACUAGUACAUGGUCCUCAGAAUAAUUAGUAAAGCAAAACUGUUUGGCUGGGACUUCCUCCACUGUGUGUAUUUCCAG
rnacentral:lncRNA from 1 species